rnacentral:lncRNA from 1 species
GGACUCCUUGGGGUUUUUUUGCUGUUUUGGGGUUUUUAGCAGUGCCAUGCUCUCCCUGCUCUGUUUCCUGAGGACUCCUUGGGGUUUUUUGCUGUUUUGGGUGUUUUGGCAGCGCCAGGCUCACUCCUGGCUGUGUUUUCUCACGAUUCCUUGGGGUUUUUUGCUGUUUUUGGGUAUUUUGGCAGCGCCAUGCUCCCCCUGCUCUGUUUCCUCAGGACUCCUUGGGGUUGUUUUGCUGUUUUGGGUAUUUUGCCAGCACCAGGCUCACCCCAGCUCUGUUUCCUGAGGACUGCUUGGGGUUGUUUUGCUGUUUUUGGGUAUUUUAGCAGNUCCUUACGGUGAAUUUGCCUUUCUCCGCUGCAGGCGCUCGCUCCCCGGUGGAUCAGGAGGCGCUGCCCCGGUGACCGGAGGUGGGGAUGGGCCGGCGCUCCUCGGACACGGAGGAGGAGGGCAGGAGCCGCAGGAAGAAGAAGCACCGGCGGCGCUCCUCCUCCAGCAGCUCCUCGGACAGCCGCGCCUACAGCCGCAAAAAGUCGGGCCGCAAAUCCAGGUCCAGGUCGCGCUCCCGGGAUCUCCCGUCCUGGUCCCACUCCUAUGAGAAAAGGCGCAGGCACAGAUCCAGCAGCAGCUCCUCCUACGGCUCCAGGAGGAAGCGCAGCCGCUCCCGGGGCAGAGGCAAAUCCUACAGAUCCCAAAGGUCCAGGUCAAAGAGCAGGACCAGGAGUGACUUUUUCAAGAGGAUUGAUCAGUUUGUGUCCGUGGCUGUGCAGGAGAGGCCCGGAGGUGGAGCAGGAGCAGAGAGGAUAUCCUGGAGCAGCAGCACUGCUGAGCUCAUUGCCCACCCUUAAUUGACCACUUUGGGAAAUUAAACUUCACAAGGCAACGCCGAGGGCCCUCCAGUUAUCAAUGAAGGCACAGAGCUGCGAGUGACAGCUGCUUUGAUGCUUUCCAUUGGUAUAAAACCAGGAAAAG